rnacentral:rRNA from 1 species
ACGGGAGGCAGCAGUGAGGAAUAUUGGUCAAUGGGCGGAAGCCUGAACCAGCCAAGUCGCGUGAAGGAUGAAGGUAUUAUGUAUUGUAAACUUCUUUAGCAGUGGAGUAAUAAGGAGGAUGUAUCCUCUGAUGCAAGUACACUGAGAAUAAGCAUCGGCUAACUCCGUGCCAGCAGCCGCGGUAAUACGGAGGAUGCAAGCGUUAUCCGGAUUUAUUGGGUUUAAAGGGUGCGUAGGCGGAUGAUUAAGUCAGUGGUGAAAGGUCCCGGCUCAACCGGGGAGCUGCCAUUGAUACUGGUCGUCUUGAAUGCGGAUGCCGUGGGAGGAAUGUGUGGUGUAGCGGUGAAAUGCAUAGAUAUCACACAGAACACCGAUUGCGAAGGCAUCUCACGAAUCCGUUAUUGACGCUGAGGCACGAAAGCGUGGGGAUCAAACAGGAUUAGAUACCCUGGUA